rfam:Physcomitrella patens subsp. patens PHYPAscaffold_164 genomic scaffold, whole genome shotgun sequence.
UGACGGCGGGUGAUGCGUAUGCAUAGUUCAAAUGAGCCUCACUGGGGCUUUGAUUAAUUACAGAAAUUAGUCUUUCGCUCCUAUCUGACGCCUAAA